rnacentral:rRNA from 1 species
AUUGAACGCUGGCGGCAUGCCUUACACAUGCAAGUCGAACGGCAGCAUGGGGAGCUUGCUCUCUGAUGGCGAGUGGCGAACGGGUGAGUAAUGCAUCGGAACGUACCGUGUAAUGGGGGAUAACGUAGCGAAAGUUACGCUAAUACCGCAUACGACCAGAGGGUGAAAGCAGGGGAUCGCAAGACCUUGCGUUAUACGAGCGGCCGAUGUCAGAUUAGCUAGUUGGUGAGGUAAAGGCUCACCAAGGCGACGAUCUGUAGCGGGUCUGAGAGGAUGAUCCGCCACACUGGGACUGAGACACUGCCCAGACUCCUACGGGAGGCAGCAGUGGGGAAUUUUGGACAAUGGGGGCAACCCUGAUCCAGCAAUGCCGCGUGAGUGAAGAAGGCCUUCGGGUUGUAAAGCUCUUUUGUCAGGGAAGAAACAGCAGCUCUAACACAGUAUGCGAAUGACGGUACCUGAAGAAUAAGCACCGGCUAACUACGUGCCAGCCGCCGCCGUAA